rnacentral:rRNA from 1 species
GGACGAUAAUGACGGUACUUUAGGAGGAAGCUCCGGCUAACUACGUGCCAGCAGCCGCGGUAAUACGUAGGGAGCGAGCGUUGUCCGGAAUUACUGGGUGUAAAGGGAGCGUAGGCGGGAUUGCAAGUCAGAUGUGAAAGGCGGGAGCUCAACUCCCGAGCUGCAUUUGAAACUGUAGUUCUUGAGUGAAGUAGAGGUAAGCGGAAUUCCUGGUGUAGCGGUGAAAUGCGUAGAUAUCAGGAGGAACACCGGUGGCGAAGGCGGCUUGCUGGGCUUUUACUGACGCUGAGGCUCGAAAGCGUGGGUAGCAAACAGGAUUAGAUACCCUGGUAGUCCACGCUGUAAACGAUGAUUACUAGGUGUGGGGGGACUGACCCCUUCCGUGCCGCAGUUAACACAAUAAGUAAUCCACCUGGGGAGUACGGCCGCAAGGUUGAAACUCAAAGGAAUUGACGGGGGCCCGCACAAGCAGUGGAGUAUGUGGUUUAAUUCGAAGCAACGCGAAGAACCUUACCAGGUCUUGACAUCGUAUGCAUAGUCUAGAGAUAGAUGAAAUCCCUUCGGGGACAUAUAGACAGGUGGUGCAUGGUUGUCGUCAGCUCGUGUCGUGAGAUGUUGGGUUAAGUCCCGCAACGAGCGCAACCCUUACCUUUAGUUGCUACGCAAGAGCACUCUAAAGGGACUGCCGUUGACAAAACGGAGGAAGGUGGGGAUGACGUCAAAUCAUCAUGCCCCUUAUGACCUGGGCUACACACGUACUACAAUGGGCAAUUAACAAAGAGAAGCCAGACGGUGACGUGGAGCGAAUCUCAAAAAAUUGUCCCAGUUCAGAUUGC